AGAGUUUGAUCCUGCUCAGAUUGAACGCUGGCGGAAUGCUUUACACAUGCAAGUCGAACGGCAGCACGGGAGCUUGCUCCUGGUGGCGAGUGGCGAACGGGUGAGUAAUAUAUCGGAACAUAUCCUAUCGUGGGGGAUAACUAGUCGAAAGACUAGCUAAUACCGCAUACGUCCUGAGGGAGGAAGCGGGGGCUCGCAAGACCUCGCGCGAUUGGAGUGGCCGAUAUCUGAUUAGCUAGAUGGUGAGGUAAAGGCUCACCAUGGCUUCGAUCAGUAGCUGGUCUGAGAGGAUGAUCAGCCACACUGGGACUGAGACACGGCCCAGACUCCUACGGGAGGCAGCAGUGGGGAAUUUUGGACAAUGGGCGAAAGCCUGAUCCAGCCAUUCCGCGUGAGUGAGGAAGGCCUUCGGGUUGUAAAGCUCUUUCGGCAGGAACGAAACGGCGGAUAUUAAUACUAUCCGUUACUGACGGUACCUGAAGAAGAAGCACCGGCUAACUACGUGCCAGCAGCCGCGGUAAUAC
rnacentral:rRNA from 1 species